UACGUAGGGAGCAAGCGUUGUCCGGAAUCAUUGGGCGUAAAGCGCGCGUAGGCGGUCCAUCGCGUCGGGAGUGAAAAGCUGGGGCUUAACCCCAGUCCUGCUUCCGAUACGGGUGGACUAGAGGUAGGUAGGGGAGAUCGGAAUUCCUGGUGUAGCGGUGAAAUGCGCAGAUAUCGGGAGGAACACCAAUGGCGAAGGCAGCUCGCUGGGACGGUACUGACGCUGAGGCGCGAAAGCGUGGGGAGCAAACAGG
rnacentral:rRNA from 1 species